AAUACAAAAUUUAUUUUAUUUUUUUGAUAAUUAAAAGAAACACUAGAAAAAUUUAUACUUAAAACAAAUUAACUUUGUUGUUUGUGGGACUUUUUAUAAGGUGAAACUGAGAGAAAUUUUCAGGAGAAGACAAACACUUACUUGUAGGGAUCUUUCAACUCUUUCACAUCUUUUGGAAUGUUCCCAGAAGUGGGACCUUGGUGUUUACCCUUUUGAAGACGGCCCUCAAUGCAAGCAGGCAGCGUUAUUCUGACUUUACCCUCCAAACUGUUCAUUGGUUUGUUGCUUUGGUUAAGGAGGGUGCCUAAGAAGAUUUUGUAUAUUGACUGAAGCCCUACAAACAUCAAGGGAAGGACUUAGCUUUGGUCAGUUACCAAAUUCUAUGAAGGCGAGCCAAAAUAUUAAAAGCUGACAUUUAUGCUUGGGAAAGAAAUGCCGUCUCUUUGAUGUGACAGACCUCCUUAUUACUACAUGACUGAAAAAGUGAAACAUCACAUGAUUGUCAUUCUCACAUUAAUAAAGUGUAUUUAAAAUUUA